rnacentral:rRNA from 1 species
AUACGGAGGGUGCAAGCGUUAUUCGGAAUCACUGGGCGUAAAGGACGCGUAGGCGGGUUGGCAAGUCAGAUGUGAAAUCCUACAGCUUAACUGUAGAACUGCAUUUGAAACUGCUAACCUAGAGUAUGGGAGGGGGAGAUGGAAUUAGUGGUGUAGGGGUAAAAUCCGUAGAUAUCACUAGGUAUACCGAAAGCGAAGGCGAUCUCCUGGAACAUAACUGACGCUAAGGCGCGAAAGCGUGGGGAGCAAACAGGAUUAGAAACCCUAGUAGUCC